ACAUUUCAUUCAGUUUCAAUUGUUUAGUCAGUUUUUACCUUGGAAACAAUUAAACGACAGUCAAGGUGAGUUAGGUUAGUGUUUUUGACGUUGACAAUAAAAAUGUGUUUCCAAAUUUCGUUACAAUAUUAUAUUUUCGAAUUUUGGACUCUAAGGAAGAUUAUAAUAGGUUGUGGUAAAUCCUCCCGGUUCCUCACGCUAAUUUUCUUUGGAACUAAAUAUAUCUAGGACGCAGAUUCAGAGAGUUAAAAAAAAACGAGGUAUCGACCAUAUAGAAUCCAUAUUAGCCAAGAACUUAAGCCAGGAGACUGCGCAAGAAAGCUUGAAUUUUGCUUAAUGCUAUGUUACAUGAAGAUGAGAAUUUUUUGAAUAAAAUAAUAUGAACCGAUGAAUGCAAUUUCUCCACGAGUGGUUUUUUUAACACAAAUAAUAAGCAUUAUUACGCAGUCGAAAACCCGUAUCAAAAUCAGCAAAUUCGAAGACAGGGACGGGAGUCGUUUAGUGUUUGAAUUAGGCUACAUAUAUAGAAACAAAAUUUUAGGGCCAGUUUUCUAUAUUGGAAAUUUGAAUUCUGAACAGUACUUAAAUUUGCCACAAAACGAUAUAUUUGAUGCUCUAGAUGACGAGCCGUUGAAUAUUGUUCAGCUAUUAUGGUGGCAACAGGACGGGGCACCACCACAUAAUGGUAUUGUUGUGUUUCAGUUUCUUAAUCAAACUUUUCCCAGUAAGUGAAGUGGAAACCAAUGAGCAGUUCGCUGGCCUACCAGAAGCCCCGAUUUGUUACCUCUUGAUUAUUUUUUAUUGGGAUAUUUACCGUGUAUUUAAAGAAAGUCCUCAAAAUAUAAAUGUUUUACGCCAUAAUUUUACUUUGGGAAUCACAAAUUUACGGGCCAAACGAAAAAUGAUCCAACGGGCAGUUAGGAGUAAUCUGCGGCGGCGGAUUCAAAAAUGCAUCGAAGUUGAAGCAGGAUUAUUUCAGUAUUUCAUGUAUUUUUUUAUUAUAAUCAAUAUAUAAUUUAAUUACUGUUAAAAGUUUUAAUUGUUAUUUGGCUUUUUGGGUGGCAGGAUUCGACAAAAAGUACGUCAUAUUUACUAAUAUAUUUCUUUGUAUAUUGCUUUUUUAUUUUUUUUCUUAAUAUAUUGCUUUUUGUUA